GGCUCGGUAGCUCAGUUGGUAGAGCAACGGAUUGAAGCUCCGUGUGUCGGCGGUUCGAUUCCGUCCCGCGCCA
rfam:Lactobacillus mucosae LM1, complete genome.